rnacentral:rRNA from 1 species
GACAGAGGGUGCAAACGUUGCUCGGAAUCACUGGGCGUAAAGGGCGUGUAGGCGGGAAUGUAAGUCGGGCGUGAAAGCCCCAGGCUCAACCUGGGAACUGCACUCGAAACUGCGUUUCUUGAGUAUCGGAGAGGAAGGCGGAAUACCUGGUGUAGAGGUGAAAUUCGUAGAUAUCAGGUGGAACACCAGUGGCGAAGGCGGCUUUCUGGACGAUUACUGACGCUGAGACGCGAAAGCGUGGGGGGCAAACAGG